rnacentral:rRNA from 1 species
UACAGGGGGGGCAAGCGUUGUUCGGAAUUACUGGGCGUAAAGGGCUCGUAGGCGGCCAACUAAGUCACACGUGAAAUCCCCAGGCUUAACCUGGGAACUGCGUGUGAUACUGGAUGGCUUGAAUCCGGGAGAGGGAUGCGGAAUUCCAGGUGUAGCGGUGAAAUGCGUAGAGAUCCGGAAGAACACCGGAGGCGAAGGCGGCUUGCUGGGCGUGAUCUGACGCUGAGGCGCGAAAGCGUGGGGAGCGAACAGG